AUUGGGGUCUGCAACUCGACCCCAUGAAGUCGGAGUCGCUAGUAAUCGCAGAUCAGCAACGCUGCGGUGAAUACGUUCCCGGGCCUUGUACACACCGCCCGUCACGUCACGAAAGUCGGCAACACCCGAAGCCAGUGGCCUAACCACCUUGUGUGGGGGGAGCUGUCGAAGGUGGGGCUGGCGAUUGGGACGAAGUCGUAACAAGGUAGCCGUACCGGAAGGUGCGGCUGGAUCACCUCCUUUCUAAGGAG
rnacentral:rRNA from 1 species